rfam:Gallus gallus isolate RJF #256 breed Red Jungle fowl, inbred line TCD001 chromosome 4, whole genome shotgun sequence.
UCAAAGGCUUUUUUAAAAUCCAUACAGUGUAUAUUUUAAGAAACUU